UCCAGCAACCUAUAGUCAUCUUUCAAUUGGAACAUUACAUUCAUACUAAAAUAACUAUUACUGAUUUUAAAUAUGCCAUCUUGAGUUUCCAUUUUUAUUCAUGUUCUUUUUGUCUCUUGAACUUAAAAAUGAAAUUAACCCUAAUACUUUUAAAUGUUUCAUUUAAUCUCAUUUUACUAAAUUGUUGGGACCACAAAGGUUCUUGCACGCACAGCAGGCACUAGGGAAACCAGGCAUGUUAAAACACCCAGGGCUGUAUUUUCAAAGGAAAAGAUGGACGACCUGUUUCCUGUCCAUAGGGCUGGGAAUGGAGGUAGAUAAAAGCUUAGGCAGCUCCUGUGCUCUGUGUAGAGCCAGGCAACACAGCCAUGCGAUCCAGAAAUCACCUACACUAUUUGCUGUCUGAAAGUUUACUUCAACAAUUUGAAAAAAGUUUUUAUGUAUGUACGUGUGUGUGAAUUUGUGUUUGUGUGUACCACGUGUGCGGUCCCGUGGAGGUGGAGUUAGAGGCAGUUGUGAGUUGCUUGGCGUGGCUGUGGGGAACAGAAGCUGAGUCCUCUGGAGGAGCAGCAACUCUGUAUCCUUCCAUCUUCCAGCACAGGUUCUGUGUAUGGAAUUCUAGGCUGGGUCAGGGUAAGCCACUGCAGUCAGCCAGGACUGAGCUCCACUCCCUCAGGACAGAGUAUCUGAGCUGUAUAUCCUGGACCCUCAUUCCUGCUGGCACUCACCCCUGGGGGAAGGUCACCUAGGCGCUCACCUUUGUAGUUUGUUUUUUGUUUUGUUUUUGCUGUUUGAGACAAGGUUUCUCUGUGUAGCUCUGGCUGACUUGGAACCCUCUCUGUAGAUCAGGUGGGCCCUGAACUUAAAAGAGAUCCACCUGGCUUUGCCAUCUGAGCACUGGGAUUAAAGCACCACAGCUGGGCAUGGUGGCAUACGCCUUUGAUCCCAGCACUUGGAAGGCAGAGGAGGCAGGCAGAUUGCUGUGAGCUCGAGGCCCAGCCUGGUCCACAAAGGGAGGCCGGGAUAGCCAAGCCAACACAGAGAAACCCUGUCUCAAAAAACAAAAAAGAAACCCAAAAUGAAACCAAAAGAUAUGCACCACCACCGCCUGGAAGCUUUCAUGGUUUUAAGUUUAGUCUUUUGCUGCCAGUUGCCAGAUCUGCGUUUCCAGGCUCAUCCUCUUCUAACAGGGGACAGAGGGCACAUUCAUACAGAACUCACAAGAGAAGUUCAGCAAAGCAAGCAUGUACAGCGGUGCGGGCUGCACUGUGGGAGACUGAACCGACAGUGAAUAAAAUACCCUCCAGAUAAGGACAGAUCAAACAGCUGCUUCUUCCAGGACGGAUCGGACAAAGUCAGGUCCAGCCAAGUUGCUAGACCUAGAGAGAAGCCAUACUAAGUGAGCCUUCCAAAUGGAGCUGUGACCUUUGGCCUAGAGACUGCUGACACUCCUGCCUGGCAGGAACGCAGCUGGAGCUGAGAGAGUUCAUCCUGCCCACUCUCCCUUUCUCUACCACCAGAAUCCUUCCCAUGAAGGUCAGGGGAAGGGGGAUCCAUGGGACUGGCUGUGAUAGCGCAUCUCUUGUUCCAGCACUGAGGAACAAGAGAGACUGAAGUGUUCGGGAUGAACCUCAGUAAGAAAACAUUGUCUCAACUGAAAUGGCAACUUUUAAAAGGGUAGACAUGGCAGGACGCAUGAGCGCAAUGGGAACUAUUGCAUUUCACUUGGCGGAACCCACCAGUGGUGGCGCCACCCUCUCCCGAGGACGUCAGAAAAGAUGACAGAGGUCCUGAGUUCAAUUCCCAGCAACCACAUGGCGGCUCCCAACCAUCUAUAAUGAGAUCUGGUGCCCUCUUCUGACAUGGAAUGUAUGUGCAGACAGAGCACUCAUACACAUAAAAAUAAAC